rnacentral:tRNA from 1 species
GCAGUGGUGGUUCAGUGGUAUAAUUAUUGCCUUCCAUGCAGCAGACCCAGGUUCAAUUCCCAGCUAAUGUA